rnacentral:misc_RNA from 1 species
AUCCCCAACCACCAUAUGCGAAAGGAAACAAAUUUAUUUUAUCCCAAUAACAUUUCCAGAUUCAUUCACUGGGAAGAAGUCAUGUUUAUGUUUGCUGUCGGCCAUAAGAGACAUAUACUGAACUUGCAGAAAGACACUACCAUAUUAUUAACAGCUAAAAUGAACAUUAUGAAAUGACACUUGAACCUAAAGAAAAUAUAUGAUUUAAUGAAAUGCUCUAAUCCAUCAACUCUGGCACAGGCCAUCUAACAAUUGAGAUUUAGCUAGAAUUUUGAUUUACAUACUGUUUUGUUAGAAGAAUGAUCAAGUGUCAUCAGUGCACAAUACAAGUAAGCAAGCAUAAAUAAAGAACUUCAAACAGAUUUUAAAAACUAAAAAAAUAGAACCAAAUAUGUCAGCUCUGGCACCUGAAAUCCAAACAAAAGAAGUUCACAAAAAAACAGUAGACGCGUAUACAUUUAUACACACCUGCAUGAGGACAAAUAGACAAUGAAAUUGUAAUCUCUCUAUCUAGAAAAAUAGGAUAUGCCAUUCAUUUAGGAAGUUCACUCUUAAAACUAUGAUACAACAGCAGAAUACCAAAACUACAUAUAGUCUCAUCAUCUCUUGUACCAAGAAAAUGAAUCCUAUGCUAUUCUCUUCAUCUAGGUUUAGAAAAUUAGUGGGGUAAAAACAAGUGCAUGCAACUUUGUUUACAGGUCAAUUUCAAAGGCCAAAAUUGCGAUGAAUUGAAGGAGAAGCAUAUACAGGGAAAA